rnacentral:rRNA from 1 species
UACGUAGGGUGCAAGCGUUGUCCGGAAUUAUUGGGCGUAAAGAGCUUGUAGGCGGUUUGUCGCGUCUGCUGUGAAAUUUCGGGGCUCAACCCCGAACUUGCAGUGGGUACGGGCAGACUAGAGUGUGGUAGGGGAGACUGGAAUUCCUGGUGUAGCGGUGAAAUGCGCAGAUAUCGGGAGGAACACCGGUGGCGAAGGCGGUUCUCUGGGCCUUACCUGACGCUGAGGAGCGAAAGCGUGGGGAGCGAACAGG